UGUAAUAAAUUUUCUCAACUUUUAUUUAUUUGUUAUUUUUAUUUAUUUAUUUUGAGACAGAGUCUCACUCUGUCGCCCAGGCUGGAGUGCAGUAGUGCAAUCUCGGCUCACUGCAACCUCUACCUCCCAGGUUCAAGUGAUUCUCAUGCCUCAGCCUCCCAAGUAGCUGGAAUUAUAGGCAUGUGACACCACACCUGGCUAAUUUUUGUAUUUUUAGUGGAGACAGGGUUUCACCAUGCUGACCAGGCUGGACUCAAACUGCUGACUUCAAGUGAUCUGCCUGCCUCUUCUUCCCAAAGUGCUGGGAUUACAGGCGUAAGCCACCAUACCUGGCCAUCAACCUUUUUUUAAGUUAAUGUUUUUGGAAUUUUAUUUAAGCCCUUCCCUAUGCAAAGACCAUGAAGAUAUUCUCUUAUAUUACCAUUCAAAAUCUUCCAUUUUUUUGCUUUCAAAUUUAAGUUUUAAAAGCCCAUUGAUAUGGUUUGGAUCUGUCCCAAACCAUAUCAAUCUCUGCCCAAAUCUCACAUCUAAUUGUAAUCCCCAGUGUUGGAGGUGGAGCCUCGUGGGAGGUGAUUGGAUCACGGAGGUGGAUCUUUCAUGAAUGAAUGAUCACCAUCCCCUUGGUGCUGUUCUCCUGACAGUGAGUGAGUUCUCAUGAGAUCUGGUUGUUUAAAAGUGUGUAGCACCUCCCGCCAUUCUCUCUCUCUUGCUCCUACUCGGGCUCUGUGACAUGCCUGCUCCUCCUUCACCUUCUGCCAUGAUUGUAAGUUUCCUGAGGCCACCGCAGAAGCUGAGCCAAUGCCAGCAUCAUGUUUCCAGAACCAUGAGUCAAUGAAACCUCUUCCCUUUGUAAAUGACCCAGUCUCAGGACAUCCACUGCAACUGAUUUUUAUGCAUUGUGUAAAGUGAUAGUCAAAUUACAUAUUUUUCAUGUCAUACCCAUGAGUCCCAGUACCAUUUAUUGUAAAGUUUACCCUUUAUCUGUAGCAUCUCCUUCAUAAUAUAUCCAGAGUCUGUAAAUGCAAAGUAGUGUUUUUGGGCUUUCUACUUUGUUCUGUUGGACUCUUUGUUUAUCCUUGAAUCAAUACCAUGCCAUUGCUAUUACGAUAGCUUUAUAAUAAGACAUGAUAUCCAUACAGCAAGUUCUCUGACUUAGUUCUCCUUUAAAUUGUCUUAGGUAGUCCUCAUUUAAAAUAACUAUGAUCAUGGAUAUUUCUCUUCCUCUUUAUGGUUCUGUCAUUUUCUUCUCUAUAUAUUAUUUGGUUGUUAGGUACAUAUACAUUUCAAACAUAUUUUCCUUGUGAACAUAAUUUUUUAUCCCUAAUAAUGUUUUUAAUCACAAUCUCUACUUUAUUUGAUACAUUGCUUAUUAUUUGACAGUAUAUAGUUUUCCAUUCUUUUAUCUUCACUCCUUCUGUAGUCUUAUGUUUCCAAUGAGUCUUCCUCAACUGGCUGGGAUGUUGAAUACCCUGCUUCUAUUCCUUUUGUGCUUAUUUUAGAAAUGACAGCAUACAUUGUUAAUGUAUCAGCCUCAACACAGUCAUUAUCUUUACUCUCCUUCCAGGUAAUAUAAGCACCUUAGAAUCCUCUUGAUUCUUUUUACCCCCUUUCUUAACUUAUAUGCUGUUGUCGUCUUUCAUUUCUAAAUAUUUUAGCCCAUAAGAUACUAAAAUUUUGUUUAUGCUUCAUUGUUCAUCUAUAUUUACAUUCACCCACAUGGUGACCUCUUUAUAAAAUCCUCAAUUCCUCAUAGCAUCUCAGCUUUUUCCAUCUGCAAUUGCUUUCCUUCUGCAUAAUGUACAUCAAUUAAGAUUGCCUUCAGUGAGGCAAAGUCACUAAAGUGGUGGCAAAUUCCACAUUCUUCUUUAUAUGAAAAUGUUUUCAUUUUGCCAUUAUUCUUGAAAGGUACUUUGUGCAUAUAAUCCUAAGUUUUCAGCUAUUUCAGUUACAGAUAUUAUUCUACUGUCUUCUAGAUUCCAUUGGUGUUGAGAAGUAAGUAAAACACUCUUUCCAAAGUCGUAUGUCUUUUUUUUGUUGUUGCUGCUGCUAGAAUUUUCUCUUUGCCUUCAGUGCUCUGCUUAUGAAUUCUCGGCUUAAUAAAUUUGAUCAAUUCUGGAAAAAUCUCAGGCAUCAUCUCCUUGAAUUGUUGUUUCUGCCCCAUUCUCUUUCCUCUCCUUUCCAAUUAAAUGCAUGUUAGAUCUUCUCACUCCAGCUUCCAUGUCUUUUGGCCUCUCUGUCAUAUUUUUUGUCUUUUUGUCUCCCUGUGCAGCAUCUGAAUAAUUUCUUAUGCUUCAUCAUUCAAUUAUUCACCACUUUCUUUUUGAUUUUCUCAAAUGUGCUGUCUAAUGGGAAAUCACUACAUUUUAAAAUUUCAGUUUUAUAUUUUUAUUUCUAGUUCUGUUUAACCUUCUUAAAAUCUGCCAAGCCACUUUUAAUUGUUACCCAUUCCAUGAAGAUAUUUAUAAGUGUACUUUUAUAUCAAUGAACAUAAUAAGCAUAGGUUUUUAUUUGUCUCUAUACUUAUAAUACAUACAGAAUUUGUGAGUCUGGUUUUCUUUUUUUCUAUUCAUUGCUUCUGCUGUUUUUCGCAUCGUAUUUUGUUUCCCUGUAUGCUUUGUUAUUUCCGACUGUACUGCUCAUUGUCCCUUGAAAAUUAGGAAGAAGGCGCCCUCCUCUGAAGAUUCAUCUUUGAUUCUGCCAGGUAUCUGGGGGUGGGGUUAGGAACCUGGAACUGGUUCUACCUUAAACUUGGAACUACCUUAAACCAAGUUCAUAGCUUGAGGUUCUCAGAAAUUGAGGUGACAUAAAACCAUCCUCAAAUCUGUAAAAAGGGCCAGGCAUGGUGGCUCAUGCCUGUAAUCCCAGGACAUUGGGAGGCUGAGCAGAACAGAUCGCUUGAACCCAGGAGUUCAAGACCAGCCUGGGCAACAUGGCGAAACCCCGUCUCUACAAAAAAUACAAAAAAUUAGCUGCCCUUGGUGGUGUGUGCCUAUAGUCCCAGCUACCCAGAAGGAUGAGGUGAGAGGAUCACUUGAGCCCAGGAGGUCGAAGCUGCAGUGAGCCGUGAUUGUGGCAUUGCACUAUAGCCUGGGCGACAGAGCAAGACCCUGUCUCAAAAAAGAAAAAAAAAUUCUGUGAAAAGGCUUGUCAGUCACAACAACGUACUUUUCCUUUUUUCUCUUACCCUGCUCAGUACCAGGGCAACCUCCCUGCUGUCCCAGAAGGGUAGAGAGAACUAGUUUUAUUUCUGGUUCACCUUUGCCCUGAAUAAAUCCAGCUUUAUAUGGAGAUGGUCUCCUAUGAGACUCUCCACCUUGAGCAAGGCAUGUACUUUGACAAAAACCUCUUUGUCCUGCAAGGCCACCAAAGCUAAAGUCUAUAUUUAUUAGGAUCAACAAAUGUUCUCAGGGCAAAAGCAACUUAGGUGUUCUAGUGUUUUAGUCCCUCUCCUCAGCUCUUUAGUGCUUUUAAGAAAAUCCAAAUUUUUUUCAAUUUAAAAAAUAUAUCCAACAUUUUAAUAUUUUCAGUGGAAUUUUGGUCCAAAUAACCUAUCCUACCAUUAUCAGAAACCAAAGCCUACCAUUUCCUCUCUCCAUUAUCAUUGAGCUGAGUUUUUCUGGACAAGCUACAGUAUUUGCAUGAGAUCCCUCUUGGCAGGGGAGGAGGAUACUCUUUCAGAUGAGCUGUUUUUACAACCCAAAGACUCUUCUUCCCUGCUACCACAGAGACAGAGUACUUCCUACAAAUAUGGCAGCCUGACUAUAUGAUUCUUUACAUAACCCCUCUUCUUUUGCUCUCUGAACCGAACUACAUCUAGGAGGGUUUCUUCCACCAGCUGUACACUCAGUUCCCAAAACUACUGCAAGCAACAGAUAACAACUUUUUCAUGUCAGGGUGGACUUUUCAUCUUAAAGAACAUGACUUUUCCAGUGCUUUCCAAGAUCUACUAUCUCUGGGCUCUCUCACCAUUUCUAUGUUGCUUCCCUUCAUUUCCUCAAUGGCUUCUGCCUGAUCUCAUCUACUUGGGACAGUCUUUACAUGUAUUUUGAAGUCUAUGGACUAAAUAUCUCUCCUACAUUUGCUGUGAAUAGAGUUUUCAAGGGUUUUUUGUUGUUGUUGUUGUUGUUGUUGUUGACCUUGCUUUUGAAUGUUUCUAGGAAGACAAGUUGAAAUGCCACCAAAUGAAGCUAUGUUUUUACACAAAGAUUCAAAUAAUCUUGACUCCUCUCUCUCUCACACACAUAACCAAUACCCAAUAUAUUGGCAAAUUCUGUCAAUGCUACCUUCAAAAUAUAUUCAAAACUUGUCCACUUCUUGCCAUCUCCAUUUCUCUUUUAGUCCAAGCCACAAUUGUAUUUUAUCAGGACUAUUGCUUAGCCUCCUAAUUAGUUUUCCUGCUUCACCUUAGCUGCCCUACAAUCCAUUCUCCAUACAGAAUUUACAUUUCUAAGACAGAAGCUAGAUCAUGUCACCUGUGCUCAAAAUCUUCCAAUAGCUUCUUAUGUCACUCAGAAUAAAAUCCAAAGUCUUUAAAUAACUGUGAGCCCCUGCAUUCUCUCCACCUCCUCCUCGCCCAUUAUUUGUUGCAUUGAAGGCACAAUAUCCUCCUUGCUGUGCUUCACACAGGUCAAGCAUACAAUUACCUCAGGGCCUUUGUACUUGCUGAACCCUCUGUAGGUGUAUUAGUUCAUUUUCAUGCUGCUGAUAAAGACAUACCCGAAACUGGGAACAAAAAGAGGUUUAACUGGACUUACAGUUCCACAUGGCUGGGGAGGCCUCAAAAUCAUGGCGGGAGGUAAAAGGCACUUCUUACAUGGUGGUGGCAAGAGAAAAAUGAGGAAGAAGCAAAAGCAGAAACCCCUGAUAAACCCAUCAGAUCUCAUGAGACUCACUAUCACGAGAAUAGCACGGGAAAGACUGGCCCCCAUGAUUCAAUUACCUCCCACUGGGUCCCUCCCACAACAUGUAGGAAUUCUGGGAGAUACAAUUCAAGUUGAGAUUUGGGUGGGGACACAGCCAAACCAUAUCAGUAGGGAAUGCUCCACCUCUAGAUUUCCUCAUGGCUUACUUUUUCUCACUUAAUUUGCAUCUCUGCCCAGAUAUCACUUUAUUAAGAGGCCUUCCUUGAACAAUCUGUCCAAUACAAUGUUCCCUCCCAUAUCCACUCCUGUCUCCUGAUCCAGUUUUAUUUUUCUUCUUGGUAUUUAUUAUCAUCUAAUAUAUUUUAUGUUUUGUUGUUGUUGUUGCUUAGCGUUGUCUUUUCUUCCAUCAAAAUCUAAGCUUUAGAAGAAUAGGAACUUUGUCUUGUUUUGUUCGCUGAUAUAUCAUAAACAUCUAGAACAGUGCCUGGCAUUAUAGUAAGUGCUCAGUAAAUACCACAGAAUGAAUGCUGUGGACACAGAGGAACCCAAUUGCAGGAAGCAGAGUAGAAGGAGAGACCAGGAAGCACCUUUCUUUCUGCCGCCACAUGAUCUUACACCUCCUUGACAUCCAGCUUCUUUACUCACUACUCCACUCCACCUUUCCAAGGUCACCACUUCCAGCUUGAGUUUAUAAAUCCUCCCUGCCUGAGGCUCCUCAGCUUACUGACUCAGUGUCCAAAUCUCAAAUCUGAUUGGUCUUUCUUAGUCCAAAAAUCCAUCGAGAAUCCAAUUAGCCAUUGCUGGGGGUCAGGGGGAGGGGAAUGUGAGUGUAUCCAUUUACAUGCCAAGUAUAGUUACCCUCCCCAGGCUUCUACAAAGAGGAAAUAAAUGCUGCGGAAUCUUUAAUUAAAAACAAAACAAGCCUUCUCUAAUACAUCCCUGACACCGACAGAGAGAACAUAUAUAACUUCUACUAGGAUGCCUCUAACUCAAAUGCCUUCAGAAUCCUGGCAGGUAAGAUAAAUGGGUGAAGAGGCCAGGGUGGGGAAUAUGGCAAACUCGGGAGUCUAUGCUGCAUCUAAAGAGGGCAGCCACUGUAACUAACUACUGCCUAGAGGAACAUGGGGCCAAUGUCACCAGAUCUUCUGAUUGUUCAAGAGAAGGCAGGAAUCUGUAUUUUAGUGUGAACUCUCCCACUUGUUAAAUGACAACUAUGACAACUAUGCAGACUGAAGAAUAUACAUCCACUGAGCAAAUCUGGCUAAGGGAUACCAGGGUACAACUUCUGUUUUGUAAAGUCAGCUCAAGAACAGGACAUCAGUAAUUUAUCACACUCAAAAGCAAUGUUUCUCACGGGGCUCAGUGUGAAGAUUUCAUUAGUUGGAGUAACCAGUACUCUCAGUCCCCUUUCACAGCACCUGCCCCCAUCUUCUCUACCAAUCCUGGUACAAACUUCCACCAACUUUUAACCAUGAGAGACAGAAGGCUUAUUGAAAAGCAUUUGGGCUUUGAAAUCAAGUGGCUCUGGGCUAAAAACAAAACAAAACAAAAAACAACAGUAUUACCUCCAAGCAUUAUUCCUUAACCUCUCCAAACCUCAGUCUACUCAUCUGCAAAAUGCGGAUGUUAAUUCCUACCUAGAAGGGUUCUUGGGAAUAAUAAUUAUUAUUAACAGACUAGUAGCGGCCCCUUCCUAGAGAAAGGCAUGAUACUUGAAAAAUCUGCAAUUGUGAUACAGAAUGUUCAUAAUAAACUAAUGCCAUCUACAUCUCUUUGUGGAAUAAGUAGAGGGCAAAAAUGCAUUUAAUAAAUAGCACAAGGAUGGAAAAUACAGCUCUCUGAAGACCCAGGUCUUCACACCAAUGUAGUUGCUUGAGAACCUAGUCCAAAAUGUCUAAGUUUGUAGAAACUAGCACUAAUUAGAAUUCAUAGACAUCAAUUAUGUGAUUAUUCAAGAACUCUCUCAACUCUUAAAUCCAUUUUUGUAUGCAUAUUACAACACAACACAGAGUCAAGUAAAGGCAUGCCAAUUCUCCAAUGGCCAAAAAAAAAAAAAAAAAA
rnacentral:lncRNA from 1 species